AAUUACAAUAAUGCAUUAUAACGGUGGCGUUAUUGUAUUUUGUCGUUCGACGGUAUCGUGUAACGAAUUGAUUGUUAACCGCGGAUUAAUUAUAAGAUUGACAAUACGUUAAACGGGAAUCGGGCACGGGGACGUUUUGCAGAACGGAAAAUGAACUUCGAUCGUUAUUUAUUAGUAGGGCCCGGAUUUACACGCACUCGCCUGUUGUUUUUUUUUUUUUUUUUUACGAUUUUUCAUUGCAUUUGUAAUAAAUAAAUUAUUGGUAAUGUCACAGAAAACCGCAUUUGCGGGUUUCAAGAUUCGUGUAACGGACUUUGAAAUCGGAUAUUUAGAAUAUCGGUUUUAAAAUCCAAAUGUUGAGUCUUACAAUGUGUACAAAAUUAUAAUAAUAAUCGGUGGUCGGGAUG